ensembl:lncRNA
UGGUCUCUUCUGUCACAUAUGGAAGUUCCCCAGCCAGGGGUUGAAUUAGAGCUGCAGUUUCCAGCCUACGUCACAGCCACAGGUGCUAGAUCCUUAACUCACUGAGCAAGGACAGAGAUUGAACCUACAUCCUCAUGGAUACUCUGUCAGGUUCAUAACCCACUGAGCCUUAACAGGAACUCCUCGUCAUUAUUUUUAUCAAAGGUUCAGUCACAUUUGGUAAUACUAUCAGUUGAUCUAAGAAAGGAAUGGAAAAUCUGAUUUGGGCCAAAUUUGAGGAUUAUAACCUGGGAAGAGCAUCUCAGAAAGGACUGUCCUACCCCUUAGAGGUCAAGGCACAGUUAUCUAAGUCUUUUGAGACAGAGGGCUCUACAUUAAAUGACGUGUUAUUGAGAGUUUACACAAUCCAGAGCUAAAGCUCACUUGGCCCCUUACAAGAUCAAGAAGGAAUGUUAUCUUUAAGGAGUUGUCUUGUAGGCGCUGGAGAAUGUUGCUUUUUCUGGUUGAGCAGGUAUUUCUGCCCACGGGGGAUGUUAGGUCCCUGCACAGUGGGGGAGAGAGGAGGCCAAAGGGCAGAGACAAUUUUUUAUGUUUAAAUUUUUCUUGCCUAGCCAUAAAAUAGGAGUUUUAUCUCGCACAAGAAAGAGCAAUCUUAUCAAAUAGGCAGAAUACAAGUCCUACAACUAGUAACAUUAAUAAGACCAUAAGUAAGCAAUGGUAUCUUCUAAGGAGUUACCUGGCUGGUGCCAGAAGAAGAAAAAUUGACCUUUCUGGCAGAGAAAGUAUUUCUGCCUUUGGGGAGGUCUGGUUAACACAUAAUACAGAUGCAUGAUGCACCCUACCAGGGGAGGGAUCAGGCCCAAACAGGCAGAUAAUAAUUUUGUCUUGCCCUCAAAGAGGAAUUUUACAUCAUCAACCCCUAAAUGUGUUUCUUACAAAAAUGAAACAUCUUUAGAAGGCAAAUGUCUCGGUUCCUUCAAACCAGGGCAUGUGACUUCUUUCCAAAAGUUCUAGCUCUUCCCCAUUUUAUGACAUCCGCAUUCUGCAUGUAUUGUGUUUAUCCACAUACUUGAAUUAUACUUAGUCAUUAAGCAAUGGUAGAGGAACUGGCUCGGAAUAGGAAUAUUUAAAAGCUCAUCCUUGACAUAAACUAAAGACUGUUUGUUGUUAUGACUCUUAUGACAGAGCGAUUGUAAAAUGAGACAGAAUAUGCUGUUUUGUUUGGUUGAACUAUUUUUCUUAGCUGAAGAGAUAAAACCGAGGAUAUGGAGUUCCAAAGUGGCUCACUCAACAAAGAUUACACAAUUCAGCAUUUCAGGCUGUUUUUAACAGGAUGAUGGGGUAUGGGGCCCAAAUAAACUUGGAAAUUCCCUUAAAUCAUUAAAAAUGGCAUGCAUUGUGUCAGAGAGGAAAAAAAAUUUCCUUCUUCCCUUCUCACUUCUUUAGCUGGUCUAAUAAUCAAAUUGAUAUAAGACAGAUUAAAUAGGAGAAAACCGAAGUUUAGUAACAUGUAUAUUUUCUAUAUACCAUGAGAGAGACACGGGAAAACAGUAUUUGGCCCAAACGUGCAAAGCCAUCCAUCCCCUGAAAUGCAACCUUCAGCUGAGGUCAAAAGAGGAUGUUGAGGGAAUGGAGAGGCCAUUCUUGGAGGCCACCAGGAAAAGGACAGAGCACUAGGGUAAGGCUGUUAGGCAGGUUUAAGUCCUUGACUUCUCUGUUGAUAUGAGUUUUUGGUGAUAAAGUCACUCCCCUCUUCUUGGUUACAAGAAGGGAGACACCCUUAUAAUCAGAGAUUUGCCUUAGACUGUAAAUGUUCUAAAGAAGGACGACUUGUAUUUGGUUUUGGUUUUUGGAGCUCCUCCCAUGUCUGCUGUUUCUUAAACAGCCAGCCUAAACAGUCCUUACACCAAAGGUACAUGUUUUGAGGAGGCAAAUUCGGCUCCCUUAUAAUUACAUUGUGUUUGUCCACACAUAUGGUAAAGUUUUACCCUUCCAACAGAGUCUCCGAAGGGGUCUGUACUUUUAAAAAUGUGACACACAGGAGCUCUCAUUAUGGUGCAACAGUAAUGAACCUAACUAGGAUCCAUGAGGAUGAGGGUUCGACCCCUGGCCUUGCUCAGCGGGUUAAGGAUCCAGCGUUGCUGUGAUCUGUGGUGUAGUCUGGCUGCUGCAGCUCCAUUUCAACCCCCAACCUGGGAACUUCCAUAUGCUGCCGGUUUGGCUCUCCCCCAAAAAAGGGGAUGCAAUUGCGUUACUGACUCUCCAUAUUUCAGGUCACAUCUGAAAGCACAAAAAUGAGACAUUUAUUCUUUGUAUUUGUUUAACAUGUAUUAAGUAGUAGUCAUGUCACCCCCCAACUCCAGGAAACUGCAAUUUAAUGGAAGUGAUGAUAAUUAUAUUACUAAGGUAUAUUUAUGUUAAAGGAUAGUGUUUUGUUUUGUUUUAAAUCUUAAAUAGUCAUAAAGCCUGGAUCAGCUGUAUCUAUUUUUUUUAAUUUACUUAAUAAAUUUUCUUUCAUUUAUGGGUGUACAACAUGUUUUUUAAAAGAUAAAAGCUUGAUUCCCAAGAAUGUAAAAGGAACCAAUGUAAAAGGUCUUAUCAAAUGUAUUAAUUAAUAAGGGAAUUAGUAAGAUGUUACAAUCAGUUCAGAGCAUAAUUUAAGCAAAUACAAAUAUAGGCAAUAAGGAAUGCUAAAACAAGUCUACAAAUCCGUGCAAUGCUGGACUAUCCACAGGGCAAUAGUUAACUGCCUUCCACAAGGACCCCAUUUGUUUGUAUUUCCUGAAAAGAGUCACUGCAUUAUGAUGAAGCUUAAAUGGCUCAAAGACAAGCACAGAUAACCUAGGAAAGUUCAUUGUAAAGGAUACCAGUGAUCUCCAGCCUCCCCCACUUCAGGUCGGUCACAAUUCUUCCCAACACGAAUUUGCAGAGAAAUUGUGACUGAAUUUUUUUCUAUGAGACAAAAAGCAAGCAGCUCAUUCGAUUUAGGGAAUUCAAAUAAAUUCCCAUGGAAAUGAUAGAUGAAACGAAUGUUCAAGAAUGAGAAGGGCAAGGACCUGAAAAGCAGAGUUCACAACCUCGUCAUUGUGAAAGACUCUGCCUUACAUGUGCACAACAGCGUAAAGCUGUUAGAUGACAGUGGAGUCUAUUUUGAGGAACUUGUAGGAAUUUGAGUUUUUAUAAUUUUCCAAAGUAUUGCUAAUACUAGAGGAAGGUACUUCGGUUCCUGCGGGAGUCAGAGCAUAGCUGACAGCUUCUCAAUGAAAAAGUCAAGUUUAUCUAGAAUCAUCCAUUUCAGCUGUUUUAAUUUUUUAUGGUUUUUAAUUUGAUAACAUGUGAAAUCAUAAUUUAUUGAGGAAAAUUCACUCCACCUGAUGCACAAGAGGCCAGCCAAUGUGUUCUGAAUUUUGGCUGAAUUUAUUACACCAUCUUCCACUCAAAACCCCCACUGACAAAAAAAAUACUACUAUUCUUGGAGUUCCCUUGUGGCUCAGCAGGUUAAAGAUUCAGCUUUGUCACUGCUGUGCUGUGGGUUUGAUCCCUGGCCUGGGAACUUCCACAUGCCAUGGGUGCAGCCAAGAAACAAACAAACAAACAAACAAACCAACACCAUUCUUAAAAAAAAUUCCAAUUCUUUAGUCAAAACAAGAAGGCAUUAAUAGAACUAAAAGCAAAACAGUUAAGAAGGUUGUGACACUUGUAUAUUCCUAUUUACUCUGAAUUUUGGCUGAACUGACAUUCCAGAAAAGUGUCCCAGGCUGUGAGUCACAGUCAAAGCACAUUCACUCUGCCUCUGGAGACAGAGGAGCUCCUAAACUUGAGAUGCACAACAGGCAUUGACAACAGGUUGCUAGGAGUGUUUCUUAAAGUAACAUGGUUAGUUUUCAUAUAACUGAGCAGGCCCCUCUGGGGCUUCCCCCACGUUCUCUGCUCUAGCUCCUCUCUGAAGCACCCAGAUAAUAGUAUCUGAUGCACAUUUUCUGAGUUGUUUUACGGAUGCUAAAACAACCAGCAAAUGGAAGAAAUUAACUACUUGAUGAUCAGAAGCCCUCAGACUUACUGGCAUCUUAGGAUUGAUAAUGUUAACCACCCCAUCAACCAAUCAGAGACACAUUCACAAGCUCAUCACAUACCCUACAAUCCUCGUCCCUCACCUGAG